rnacentral:rRNA from 1 species
GAAUUCGCCCUUAGAGUUUGAUUCUGGCUCAGGAUGAACGCUGGCGGCGUGCCCAACACAUGCAAGUCGAACGGACUUAAAUUGAAACCUAGUGAAGUUUAAGUUAGUGGCGGACGGGUGAGUAACGCGUGGAUAACCUGCCGUAUGCAGGGGGAUACCAACUGGAAACAGUUGCUAAUACCGCAUAAGCGCACAGUACCGCAUGGUAUAGUGUGAAAAGAUUUAUCGGCAUAUGAUGGAUCCGCGUCCGAUUAGCCAGUUGGCGGGGUAGAAGCCCACCAAAGCGACGAUCGGUAGCCGGCCUGAGAGGGCGGACGGCCACAUUGGGACUGAGACACGGCCCAAACUCCUACGGGAGGCAGCAGUGGGGAAUAUUGCACAAUGGGGGGAACCCUGAUGCAGCGACGCCGCGUGGGUGAAGGAGUACUUCGGUACGUAAAGCCCUAUCAGCAGGAAAGAAAAUGACGGUACCUGACUAAGAAGCCCCGGCUAACUACGUGCCAGCAGCCGCGGUAAUACGUAGGGGGCAAGCGUUAUCCGGAUUUACUGGGUGUAAAGGGAGCGUAGACGGCAGUGCAAGUCCGGAGUGAAAGCCCGGGGCUCAACCCUGGGACUGCUCUGGAAACUGUAAAGCUGGAGUGCGGGAGGGGCAGGCGGAAUUCCUGGUGUAGCGGUGAAAUGCGUAGAUAUCAGGAGGAACACCGGCGGCGAAGGCGGCCUGCUGGACCGUAACUGACGUUGAGGCUCGAAAGCGUGGGGAGCAAACAGGAUUAGAUACCCUGGUAGUCCACGCCGUAAACGAUGAUUACUAGGUGUCGCGGAAGGAAGUUCUGCGGUGCCGUCGCAAACGCAAUAAGUAAUCCACCUGGGGAGUACGUCCGCAAGGUUGAAACUCAAAGGAAUUGACGGGGGCCCGCACAAGCAGUGGAGUAUGUGGUUUAAUUCGAAGCAACGCGAAGAACCUUACCAGGUCUUGACGUCGUGCGCAUAGCUCAGAGAUGAGUGAAACCCUUCGGGGCGCAUAGACAGGUGGUGCAUGGUUGUCGUCAGCUCGUGUCGUGAGAUGUUGGGUUAAGUCCCGCAACGAGCGCAACCCUUGUAUUUAGUUGCUACGCAAGAGCACUCUAGAUAGACUGCCGUUGACAAAACGGAGGAAGGUGGGGAUGACGUCAAAUCAUCAUGCCCCUUACGACCUGGGCCACACACGUACUACAAUGGCGCGCAACAGAGGGAAGCAAAACAGCGAUGUGGAGCAAACCCCUAAAACGCGUCCCAGUUCAGAUAGCAGGCUGCAACCCGCCUGCAUGAAGUCGGAAUUGCUAGUAAUCGCGGAUCAGAACGCCGCGGUGAAUACAAAGGCCGGGUCUUGCACUCACCGCCCGUCA